rnacentral:lncRNA from 1 species
AUGUUAUUUUUGAGCGUGCUAAAUUCAAUCAGACAGCAGGAACAAGGGGAGACAGUGGACAGUUUUAUCACUUCACUCCACUGUUUGUCAGAGCACUGUGGCUAUGGGCAGCUGCAUGACGAAAUGAUUCGGGACAGACUGGUUGUAGGCUUGCGCGAUAAAAGUCUGUUGGAGAAACUUCAGUUGGACUCGGAGUUGACGCUGGAGAGAGCGGUGACGCGCGCGCGUCAGAGCGACAGUAUGAAAAAGCAACAGGACCUGUUGAGGAGUAACUUCAAGGCAGAGACCACAGACGUGGACAGUGUUCAAACAAACCACAAGUUCAACAUAGGCAGAGGGAGACAGCAGAAAAUGCAGGUUAGAACAUAUGACAAAAGCAGUUAUCACGCGCAGCCAGGUAACCAGACAGGGUCACUAUGCAAAGGUCACUAUGCAAAGGUGUGCAUGUGGUGUGGUAGAACGCCAGCACACAGCAAAAACCAGUGCCCAGCUAGAGAUGUAGCAUGUAACCAGUGCCAGAAAAAGGGUCACUAUGCAAAGGUGUGCAGAUCAGGGGUCCUCAACGAAGUUAACACAGCUGAGUCAGAUGAGGAGGGAAUCGCUUUCCUAGGCACAGUCAGCUCAGAGGGUGAACCCUGGCUGAUCAACCUUUAUGUGAAUGAGCACACAGCAGUAUUCAAGAUAGAUACGGGGGCUGAUGUAACAGUGUUAUCUGAAGAUGAAUUUAAGAGGAGGCAAUUUCCAGUGCUAGAGAGCGCAAAGAGAGUGCUGCAAGGUCCAGGUCAGACGCCCAUCACGGUGAGGGGAAAAUUCACAGCUACCAUAGGAACUGACAGUAAAAACACUACACAGGAAGUGUAUGUAGUCCCAGGUCUGAAGUUUAGCCUGCUGGGACGUCCAGCUAUUCAGGCACUUGGGCUAGUGGCUAGAGUAGACACAGUGGCACUGGAUUCAGUCGAGAGAGUCAAGGAGCAGUUCCCCAAACUGUUCAAAGGGCUAGGCAAGAUGGAGGGGGAAUACAAGAUAGAGCUUAAAGCAGACGCCAAACCGUUCUCCAUAUCAACCCCACGACGAAUCCCGCUGCCUCCCAUGUCUAAGGUGAAGAUGGAACUCUCACGUAUGGAAGAGAUAGGGGUGAUAUCAAGGGUUGAACAACCCACAGACUGGUGCGCCGGAAUGGUCACUGUGCCGAAACCAGGCAAGGAUGAGGUGCGCAUCUGCGUUGAUCUGACGAGAUUGAAUGAGUCCGUCAAGAGGGAGAGACACAUGCUCCCGUCAGUCGAACACACACUUGGACAGCUAGAGGGCGCCAAAGUAUUUUCAAAAAUCGAUUUGGCAAAUUCCCCUUGCCAAGGAGUCCGCCCUCCUCACAACAUUCCUCACUCCCUUUGGGAGGUUUUGCUUUAA